rnacentral:lncRNA from 1 species
AAAGGCCGCAUAGCCACCGAGCUUGGACGACUGAGGUCGGCGUCCGACCUCUGAACGUCCGACCUCAGAACGUCCGACCUCGAAACGUCCGACCUAGAGAAUUUCCGACCCCAAAGGUCUGUCCUUGUCGACCACCUACUACGGCCGAACCCCUCCAAAGUCCGGCCGAGGGCCAUAUUCUGCCACUGCCCCAGCAUUUAUUACGCAUGACCUCUGCAAACCCCCAGUUUACUCAACAAUUAAUGCGACUCUCCGGCCUACUCAACUAUUAAUGCGCACCUCCGGCUUACUCAACAAUUAAUACGCAUGACUUCUAUUAUCUACGGACCUACGGCUCUCCAUGGCAAAUCAGCUCAGCGGAGUCCAAUCA